rnacentral:rRNA from 1 species
AGUGAACGCUGGCGGUCGGCCUAACACAUGCAAGUCGAACGGCAGCACAGUAAGAGCUUGCUCUUACGGGUUGCGAGUUGCGGACGGUUGAGGAAUACAUCGGAAUCUACUUUUUCUUGGGGGAUAACGUAGGGAAACUUACGCUAAUACCGCAUACGACCUACGGGUGAAAGCAGGGGAUCUUCGGACCUUGCGCGAUUGAAUGAGCCGAUGUCGGAUUAGCUAGUUGGCGGGGUAAAGGCCCACCAAGGCGACGAUCCGUAGCUGGUCUGAGAGGAUGAUCAGCCACACUGGAACUGAGACACGGUCCAGACUCCUACGGGAGGCAGCAGUGGGGAAUAUUGGACAAUGGGCGCAAGCCUGAUCCAGCCAUACCGCGUGGGUGAAGAAGGCCUUCGGGUUGUAAAGCCCUUUUGUUGGGAAAGAAAAGCAGCAGGUUAAUACCCCGCUGUUCUGACGGUACCCAAAGAAUAAGCACCGGCUAACUUCGUG